AUUAUGGCUCAGGAUGAACGCUGGCGGCGUGCUUAAUACAUGCAAGUCGAACGAAGCACUUACGACAGAUCCCCUCGGGGUGAAGAUGUUUGUGACUUAGUGGCGGACGGGUGAGUAACGCGUGGGUAACCUGCCUCAUGCAGGGGGAUAACAGUUAGAAAUGACUGCUAAUACCGCAUAAGCGCACGUGACCGCAUGGUCGAGUGUGAAAAGAUUUAUCGGCAUGAGAUGGACCCGCGUCUGAUUAGGUAGUUGGUGGGGUAACGGCCCACCAAGCCUGCGAUCAGUAGCCGACUUGAGAGAGUGAUCGGCCACAUUGGGACUGAGACACGGCCCAGACUCCUACGGGAGGCAGCAGUAGGGAAUAUUGCACAAUGGGGGAAACCCUGAUGCCAGCGACGCCGCGUGAGUGAAGAAGUAUUUCGGUACGUAAAGCUCUAUCAGCAGGGAAGAUAAUGACGGUACCUGACUAAGAAGCCCCGGCUAACUACGUGCCAGCCGCUGC
rnacentral:rRNA from 1 species